AUGAAACGCCCGACGUUGGCGGGCGACGACCCAGACUACGAUGCGUUUAUGGAGAACGUCAUCUACGAGGGUCGUGGCCAGGCCUUCCACCCCAAGGGCCAAGGCCAAGGUUACAAUCCCGACGGGACCCAAAGCCAAGACGGUCGCGUCCAAGAUGGUGCCGACCACUAUGGUGUCCACGAAGAAGAAGAAGCCGACGACCAUGGCAACUCAUGGCAUGAAGAUGAAGAUGUCUAUUGCGAAGAGGAAGAAGAGGGUGUCGACAUUGAGGAGGAGCCAUUGUUUAUCGAUGAGCUCAUCCAAAGAGCUGAUUCACAAAGGAGGAGGCAAAACAUUCACACGAGAUCAUACACCAAAGAAGAGGACGUGUUGAUUUGCGAGAGUUGGAAGGAGAUUGGCCAAGAUCUCAAGCUCGGUGUCGAGCAAAAAUGA
rnacentral:rRNA from 1 species